rnacentral:snoRNA from 1 species
CCGCUGGAUGAUGAAGAACUGGUGGCAUACAUCAUCAACGGGCUCGACUCCGACUUCGAUGCUGCUGUCGAAGGAAUAAUGGCAACGGCAAGAAUUGCUCCUCCUUCUGUAUCUCAUGUUUAUUCACAGGUUUUGAGU